rnacentral:rRNA from 1 species
UAACGAAUCUUCCGCAAUGCACGCAAGUGUGACGGAGCGACGCCGCGUGUGGGACGAAGCCCCUCGGGGUGUAAACCACUGUCAGGGGAUAGAAAGUUCUGAUCAUCCCCAGAGGAAGGCACGGCUAACUCUGUGCCAGCAGCCGCGGUAAGACAGAGGUGCCAAGCGUUAGGCGGAAUCACUGGGCUUAAAGCGUGUGUAGGCGGACCGUUAAGUACCUUGUGAAAUCCCCCGGCUUAACCGGGGAACUGCUGGGUAUACUGGCGGUCUUGAGUCGCUCAGGGGCAGAUGGAACAGGCGGUGGAGCGGUGAAAUGCGUAGAUAUCGCCUGGAACGCCAAAGGAGAAAUCAGUCUGCUGGGGGCGAUCUGACGCUGAGACACGAAAGCCAGGGGAGCGAACGGGAUUAGAUACCCGGGUAGUCC